rnacentral:rRNA from 1 species
GAUGAACGCUGGCGGCGUGCCUAACACAUGCAAGUCGAACGGAGAUUACGGACGGAAGUUUUCGGAUGGAAGACUGUAAUUCUUAGUGGCGGACGGGUGAGUAACGCGUGGGCAACCUGCCCUAUACAGGGGGAUAGCAGCUGGAAACGGCUGGUAAGACCGCAUAAGUCGGCGAGACCGCAUGGUUUUGCCGGGAAAUGAGCAAUCAGGUAUAGGAUGGGCCCGCGUCCGAUUAGCCAGUUGGCAGGGUAAAAGCCUACCAAAGCAACGAUCGGUAGCCGGACUGAGAGGUCGGACGGCCACAUUGGGACUGAGACACGGCCCAAACUCCUACGGGAGGCAGCAGUGGGGGAUAUUGCACAAUGGAGGAAACUCUGAUGCAGCGACGCCGCGUGAGUGAAGAAGUAUUUCGGUAUGUAAAGCUCUAACAGCAGGGAAGAUGAUGACGGUACCUGACUAAGAAGCCCCGGCUAACUACGUG